GGUGGAAGGGAGAGUCAGAGAUUCAAAGCAUGAGGAAUUCGGGCCACACGAGGAGUCUAGGCAGCCUGUAGGAACAGAGAGAAGCUCCCAGUGCCCAGCCAGCCAGGAAACAGGACCUCAGAGCCAUAGCCACAGGGAACUGGAUUCUGCCAGCAAAAGAGGUAGGUUCUUCCCGAGAUCCUCCAGGCAAGAUCCCAGCCCAGUGGACACCUUGAUUUCGGCCUUGUGGGACCCUGAGCAGAAAACCCAGAGCCCGGAUUUUGUUUAGCUGUCCACCCUCCUCCCUGAGGUUCAGUGGAAGAAGACCCCACUCAGAGCUACAGGAGGAGCAUCCUGAUUGCUUAAUUCAAUCAUGGCUCCACAUACCUCCUGCCAUGGAUAUGGGACCUUACUAAGGAAGUGUGAGAGGCUUCCCUGGUAGCUCAGUCGGUAAAGAAUCUGCCUGCAGUUCAGGAGACCUGGGUUCAAUCCCUAGGUCAGGAAGAUACCCUGGAGAAGGAAAUGGCAGACCAUUCCAGUAUUCUUGCCUGGAAAGUCCCAUAGACAGAGGAGCCUGGCCGGCCACAGUCCAUGGAAUCGUAAGAGUCAGACAUGAUUUAGCAACUAAACCACCUGGGAAAGGCAUCUUUACUCCAUUCAAAGAGAACAGGAGGAGGUGGCCCACUUCCUACACUGGAUGUUAUGGGGCCUGAGGGCAAAUCCCAUACGCUGAGCGCAGAGAUUUGCCCCAAAGAACCUGGGCCUUUGUGACUUCAAAUGCCAUUGCUCAUACUACGCCUGAAGAACAAUAUUCUGCCGGCGGCAUUUCCUUAUAGCUGAAGCCAUUUUGAAUCAGGUUCCAGUCCCUUUCCACUGAAAGCACCUACCUAGUAACCUUGGUUGGACAACAGAAUGUGGACACCCUUGGUGCAUUGUUUGUACAAGGUCAGCUUCAUGGGUCUGUGGCUUGUGCUGUCACAUGAAGCCCCAUGCUCAGUAGGAACUCUGACUUGAUUUAAUUUUCUGCUGUUACUGUUAUGAAAUUCUUAACUUCUGAACAGGAGGCCCCGCACUUUCAUUUCACAAUGGGCCCCCCGAUUUAUGUAGCCGGUCUUGGUGAUGUGACAUUUCUUAUCUCCUUGUUUUUCUUUAUCUGCCCUCUCAACCUUUGAAUCCUCAUAAGACAAUGCCUCAUCUGCAAAACCCACCAGCUUAACUAAAAUGAGGAGGUUGAAACAUUCUUCAGCUGAUCCCUAAGGAGACUACCAGCACUGCUAAGAACUCAGCUUCCCUCAUCCCAGUUUGGUACUCAACAUUUCAGUAUCCCAAGUUGACCUUCACAAGGCAAAACCUAAGCCCCCUUGCCUGGUAU
ensembl:lncRNA